rnacentral:rRNA from 1 species
UUUAUAGAGCUUCCCAUGGCGCCUGUUUAUCAAAAACAUGGUUUCUUGAUAUUAUAAGAAAUCUAGCCUGCUCACUGCUGAAGUAAAGAGCCGCAGUAUUAUGACUGUGCUAAGGUAGCAUAAUCAUUUGUCUUUUAAAUGAAGUCUGGUAUGAAAGGUUGGAUCGAAGAAGAAACUGUCUCUUUAUUAAAAGGUGAAUUUAAUUAAUUAGUAAAAAGGCUAGUAUAAACCUGAAAGACGAUAAGACCCUAUUAAGCUUAAUUUAAUAAUUUUACUGGGGCGGUAAAGUAAGAGUGGAAUCUUACUAGUAAAGAAUGAGUAAUUAUGACCCAAUUUUAUUGAGGAACAGAUGAAGUUACUAUAGGGAUAACAGCUUAAUUUUUUCUUGAAGAUCUUAUUUAGGAGGAAGUUUGAGACCUCGAUGUUGAAUUAAAGUUUCAGUUACACGCAGUAGUGUUUAUUGUAAGUCUGUUCGACUUUUAAAAUUUUACGUGAUCUGAGUUCAGACCGGCCAUGGGAAGCUCUAUAAA